UUGGGGACAAUCCCUUUGCAGCGUGGUU
rnacentral:piRNA from 1 species